AUAUGAAGUUUUACACAAGGUUGUGUGAUAUGUUUUGCAGGACGCAGUGUGCGGUUUGCAGACAUGCCCCCCUCAGCACCCAGGGAGAAGAGCAAGAAGAAGAGGAUUGUGAAGAAGAAAAAGGCCAUCACUCCUCUGCAGGCUAUGAUGCUUAGGAUGGCAGGGCAGUCCAUCCCUGAGGAGGAAGAGGAGGAAGAGGAAGUUGAGGAGGAGUAUACUGACUCUGACGACUCAGACAUCGAGGAUAGGGGACCACCAGGCGACAACCAGUCUCACCUUAUACCCAAUCAGCGCAUGCCUCCACCCUCUGGACCAAUGGGAGGACAGCAACCACCUCUACACAUGCAGGGUCCACCAGGAACAGGGCCUCCACCGUUGGGACCACCCCCAGCUCCUCCAAUGAGGCCUCCUGGUCCGCCCUCUGGCCUGCCUCCCGGCCCUCCACCCGGUGCUCCCCCGUUUUUGAGGCCGCCUGGUAUGCUAGGUGGUCCAAGGGGGCCGAUGCCCCGUCUACUGCCCCCUGGACCCCCACCAGGUCGUCCCCCUGGCCCUCCCCCAGGCCCCCCUCCAGGUCUCCCUCCUGGUCCUCCACCCCGGGGACCCCCACCCAGACUGCCUCCCCCAGCUCCCCCAGGUAUGUGUGGAUGUAAUUUUGUGCCUUUUAUUGGAAUUUCAUAGGACUUUAUCCCUUCUCCUUAACUUCUUGGGGCUAUGUGGGACGUUAGCGUGCCCCCCGUGGCGCACUCUAUCAACAGCAGGUGCAUUUCAAGAGCGGCAAAUUUGAAACCAAAUAAAUGUCAAAAUUCAGAUUUCUCAAACAUACAACUAACUUACAGCCUUUGAAAGAUAAACAUCUCCUUAAUCUAACCACGUUUUCCGAUUUCAAAAAGGUUUUACGGGGAAAGCAUAAAGUUAGGUUAUGUUAGGAGAGUACAUUGAAAAUAGCUGUGUGUAGUGCAUUGUCGAUUCAAAGACAGGCGUCACCAAAACCAUAAAAUCAGCUAAAAUUAUGCACUAACCUUUUACAAUCUCCAUCAGAUGACACUCCUAGGACAUUAUGUUAGACAAUGCAUGCAUUUUUAGUUCUAUCAAGUUCAUAUUUAUAUCUAAAAACAGCGUUUUACUAUGGCGUUGAUGUUCAGGAAAUCGUUUCCCUCCAAUAC
rnacentral:lncRNA from 1 species